rnacentral:rRNA from 1 species
GGGGAAUAUUGGGCAAUGGGCGAAAGCCUGACCCAGCAACGCCGCGUGAGGGAAGAAGGUUUUCGGAUUGUAAACCUCUGUCGCAGAUGACGAAGAAAGUGACGGUAAUCUGUGAGGAAGCCCCGGCUAACUACGUGCCAGCAGCCGCGGUAAUACGUAGGGGGCGAGCGUUGUCCGGAAUUACUGGGCGUAAAGGGUGCGUAGGCGGUUCUUUAAGUUGGAUGUGAAAUACCCGGGCUUAACCUGGGGGGUGCAUUCAAGACUGGGGAACUAGAGUUCAGGAGAGGGAAGCGGAAUUCCUAGUGUAGCGGUGAAAUGCGUAGAUAUCAGGAGGAACACCGGCGCUGUAGACGGCUUGCUAGACCAUAACUGACGCUGAGGCACGAAAGCGUGGGUAGCAAACA